GCCCCCAUCGUCUAGAGGCCUAGGACACCGGCUUUUCAAGCCGAGAACACGGGUUCGAAUCCCGUUGGGGGCG
rnacentral:tRNA from 1 species